rnacentral:rRNA from 1 species
UACGAAGGGGGCUAGCGUUGCUCGGAGUUACUGGGCGUAAAGCGCACGUAGGCGGCUUUCUAAGUCGGGGGUGAAAUCCUGGAGCUCAACUCCAGAACUGCCUUCGAUACUGGAGAGCUCGAGUCCGGGAGAGGUGAGUGGAACUGCGAGUGUAGAGGUGAAAUUCGUAGAUAUUCGCAAGAACACCAGUGGCGAAGGCGGCUCACUGGCCCGGUACUGACGCUGAGGUGCGAAAGCGUGGGGAGCAAACAGG